AAGAACAGCAGCAAGGGCAGUCAGUGGACGUGUUUCUGGCUGCCCAGCAUGGGCAUUUCUUCCUGUGUUUGGGGGUCCCCUGCCUGGAAUGGGGGUGCAGUUGGUUGCUCGAGCUGAUCUAGCGCACUGCCGAGGGCUCCACUUUGGGAGGCACUGACUUGAGCAGGAGCGGGAGGAACCUGUCCUCGGGGUGGCGGUCACCCCGGAGGCCCCAGCGUCCUGGGUCUCUGGCCGCUUGGUGGUGGCUUUGCAAGCGAGAUGCUGAGUCCCGUGGGCGCUGCCUGGGCUGCGAGCCCUGAGCCUGGUGUGCUCUGCAGGUGGUUGCGAGUCUGAGAGACCCCACCUGCUGCGCGUGCCUGGGAGACCGGGUUGGGCAGGAGUGAGGGGCUCGUGGGGGACAGGCUGUCAGGGUGCUGCUGCCCACUGGACGGGCCCGAGGUGUCGUCUGCUGAGGAGCCCCAUUCCAGGAGAUGGGGCUCCCCUCCCAGGGCCUUCCUGGGGUCAGGUGCCACCCCUGGGCGCUGGCCUCUGCACGCCCCCUUUCUCUGUCCUGUGCCAUGCCCAGGGCGACGCGGUUCCCACGGCCUCUGGCUCCCGGCUGGACUUGGCCCAUGGGAGGCCCUGGCAGGACAAGGGGACGAGAGGUUGGGGUGUUUCUCGCUGGCCUGUCCUGCCCAGGCCUGCGGUUGUGGUAAUGGCUGUGCCCCCUCCUCACCCCCGGUGACAGCUCCUGCCGUAACCCCCCUCCCCAAUCACCUGUCCCCUGUCCCUUCCCUGCAGCCUCGGUGGCCCCAGGAGUGCUUUCCUUAAGGCCCACACCCAGGUGACGGGGCCGUCACGAAAUGCCUUUAAAAACAGAACAGCUGAGGCUGCCUUUGUUUCCUGCCAGGACCCUGCUUGACCCACAGCCUUCCUUGGGUUUUGCCUAAAAGCCCAGCAGCCUUGGACUGACUCGAGCACAGCUACGGACAGGGCCCCGCGGUCUCCCGCAGAGACUGGGUCUUCUCGUGGGACUUGCCACCUUCGGCCCAAGGAGGCGAGAGGGGGGAAGGGGAGGGGGAGGCAAGGGGGUGCGGGGGAGCCGGGCUGCCUUUUUGGGAAGUGGGGAGUCUGGCUGAGCCGCUGAAACCAGGCCCCUCCUCUGGGGCUGCUGCUGCCGCCGGAGGGGGGGCAGGAGGGCAGUGGGGGGGAUGGCAGCGGGCAGAGGCCAGGGCCCUGGUGGUCCUUGCAGGACAAGGAUGUGGUGUCCCUCGGGGUCCCGGAGGUGGCGUCAGCCCCCCACCCUGGAACCCCUCUAACUUACCUCCCUCAAGGCGCUGACUCCAGAUGGUCACAUUCAGAGGUCCUGGGGUCAGGGCUUGGGCGUGACUUUCAGGGCGCACGAGCCAGCCCAUAAGCCCUGCGUGGGCAGCAGUGGACGGACACACAGCCCCAGCCUUCUGGAGCCAGAGAAGGUGACAGGGGUGGGGACAGCGGGGUGAACGUGGGCGGGAGGGGCAGCCACCUGGGGGAGGUGACAAGGGCCUCCGGCGUGGGGUCCCGUCCCUCAGUCCCGUGUUUGUCUUCCUGGAAGGGAGGAAGUUGGGAGGGAUUUGGGGGCCCCCUUUCUGGGUUUGGGGCUAGUUCAGUGGCUGGAGCUCCGAGUGUGGCCAAGAGAACCUGCGUCGUGUGUGGGGCCGUCGAUGCGGGGCUCAGACCAGGGAAGCUGCGCCGAGUCCUCUGGGGUUGGAGGGUCGGGGCUUCGCGCCACUGGCGUUCAUAGUUUUAUUUCUGCAUUUGAACUGCGCGGACGCACGGAACAGGGGAGAAAACUCAAAUGGAAGUUUGGGGGUUUGUUCUAAAUCGAAUCACCGCGGCACAUCUUGGGGCAAAGGAUGCUUGAGGGCCCUUGCGCCGCGGGCAGUGCCCGCCCUGGUGUCCGAGUCCUCGCAUUUCGUCGUGUGGCCACUUGGUGGCCCUUCCAUGUGGGAGCCUGCGUCUUCCUCCGGAGAACGUUCUUAGCUGUUUCCUUCCGUCUGGCUUCUCUCUUUUCUUCCUGGUGUUUGUUUGUUUGUUUGUUUUUUUUAAUUUUACGACCACACCUGCAGCAUAUGGAAGGUCUCAGGCCAGGGACUGAAUCCGAGCCGCAGCUGCAGCAACAUCGGAUCCUCAACCCGCUGCACCGGAGUUCCCAUCGUGGCUCAGCACUUAACGAAUCUGACUAGCAUCCAUGAGGAUGUGGGUUCGAUCCCUGGCCUCACUAGGGGGUUAAUGAUCCGGCAUUGCCAUGAGCUAUGUUGUGGGUCGAAGACCCGGCUGAGAUCUGGUGUUGCUGUGGCUGUGGUGUAGGCUGGUGACUACAGCUCCAAUUUGACUCCUAGUCUGGGAACCUCCAUAUGCCGUGGGAGCGGCCCUAAAAAGCAAAAAAAAAAAAA
rnacentral:lncRNA from 1 species